rnacentral:lncRNA from 1 species
GGUUGAAAUCCAGAAGGCGGUCAACCACCAUAAAAAUUUAGAUGGAGUCUGGCUAUUGUAGAAAUCUCAUUAUCGGAGAAACUCGAAUAUUGACGAAGUCCGGAAGAAGUUCGAAAGGGAUUCGGAGAAUAGUUGAUCAUUGUAGAAGGUCGGCUGAUAGUGAGGCCCAAAGAGCCUUUGGAGCAGCCCAGUAGAUGAAUGGAGAAGCUUAUUGUCGGAGAAGUUCGGACGGUUGAGGGGGUUCAAAGAGACGCCACACA